rnacentral:rRNA from 1 species
CGGUGCCAGCCGCCGCGGUAAUACCGGCGCCUCAAGUGGUAGUCGCUUUUAUUGGGCCUAAAACGUCCGUAGCCGGUUUGGUACAUUCGUGGGUAAAUCAACACGCUCAACGAGUUGAAUUCUGCGAGGACGGCCAGACUUGGGACCGGGAGAGGUGUGGGGUACUCUCAGGGUAGGGGUAAAAUCCUGUCAUCCUGAGAGGACCACCUGUUGCGAAGGCGCCACACUAGAACGGAUCCGACGGUCAGGGACGAAGCCUAGGGGCACGAACCGGAUUAGAUACCCGGGUAGUCCUAGGUGUAAACGCUGUGGACUUGAUGUUGGAGGAGCUCCGAGCUCUUUCAGUGUCGAAGCGAAGGUGAUAAGUCCACUGCCUGGGAAGUACGGUCGCAAGGCUGAAACUUAAAGGAAUUGGCGGGGGAGCACCGCAACCUGAGGAUUGUGCGGUUU